rnacentral:rRNA from 1 species
GACGAACGCUGGCGGCGUGCUCAACACAUGCAAGUCGAACGAAGAGCGAUGGAAGCUUGCUUCUAUCAAUAUUAGUGGCGAACGGGUGAGUAACGCGUAAUCAACCUGCCCUUCAGAGGGGGACAACAGUUGGAAACGACUGCUAAUACCGCAUACGAUCUAAUCUCGGCAUCGAGGAUAGAUGAAAGGUGGCCUCUACAUGUAAGCUAUCACUGAAGGAGGGGAUUGCGUCUGAUUAGCUAGUUGGCGGGGUAACGGCCCACCAAGGCGAUGAUCAGUAGCCGGUCUGAGAGGAUGAACGGCCACAUUGGGACUGAGACACGGCCCAGACUCCUACGGGAGGCAGCAGUGGGGAAUCUUCCGCAAUGGACGAAAGUCUGACGGAGCAACGCCGCGUGAGUGAUGACGGCCUUCGGGUUGUAAAGCUCUGUUAAUCGGGACGAAAGGCCUUCUUGCGAAUAGGGAGAAGGAUUGACGGUACCGGAAGAGAAAGCCACGGCUAACUACGUG